rnacentral:misc_RNA from 1 species
UAGUCCUAAAGCAUUCAACCUCUUUGUGCAUUCUUCUCCUCCCAAUCGUGAACAGAACUUGAUAUUAUGUGACACAAAGAUUCGACCUUCUUGAGGCUUCAAUUUAGCAGCUAGCCUCUCCAAACCAACCCAAACAAGUUUAUCAGGGAUAUGAAGAAAAACAGCACUUGCAUAUAUCAGAUCAUACAUAGUUCCGGAUCCAAAUUUACUGAAAUCCAUGUCUUCACCUCUAACAAUAAGGGGACGCUUGUGUAAUAAGCCUUGAGACGGAAGCUCAUAUCUGAAUGCAGCCAUUAAAGAAAGUUCAUCUCUCUCAAGACAGUGGAAGUGUUCUGGGUUCAGAUACCGGAUGAAAUGUAAUCCAACACGAAGAGUACCACAUCCGAUCUCUAGAACUUGAGCAUUUGGGGUUAGAUGGGCUGACUCUGCAAGGAAUUCAAAAACAUCCCUCCCUCCUGCCCAUGGUUCUCCAUAAUUGCUAUGAUGUUGUUCUACGAGGAGUUCACCGGGACAAGGAAGGGCAGUGUGAUUAUUCGUCGGUUCUCCUUCAUAAUGUGAUAUGCCCUUGAACUGAAGAAGAUCCUGGAGCUGUUGUUGGCGAGUACGAGGGUUGAUCCCUUUGCGCAGCACAUUAUCCGCCAUAUGGAGUCCAUUACCUUCGAUCUGUUUCUUCACCCACUCUAUAUCCUCUGUUGACGUCGAGAUCCGUUCUCCGGUGCCGGAUCUGUAGCCACCACCGCCACUGACGGCGGUGGUUGUAGCGACAGGGCAAUUACACGGUGGUGGUGAGGAGAAAAGAAAAAAGAAUAAUACGGCGGAAAAGGCGGCGCCGGAGAGGAGCAGCACCGGCAGAGAUACUACCACUCCCUUCGAUGAGGACGAUAGCAGAGCCAUAAGAGUGGUGAUAUGUUUCUGCGUUUCAGUAUUUGUAGAUUUUGUAGUUCAAUAAUGGCGCACAACUGUGAGCUCGGGAUCUAUUGUACCAUCUGUUUAGCAGAUCGUACAUUUCACUCUUUUUUUU